UACGUAGGGUGCGAGCGUUGUCCGGAAUGAUUGGGCGUAAAGCGUCUGUAGGUGGCUUUUUAAGUCCGCCGUCAAAUCCCAGGGCUCAACCCUGGACAGGCGGUGGAAACUACCAAGCUGGAGUACGGGUAGGGGCAGAGGGAAUUUCCGGUGGAGCGGUGAAAUGCGUAGAGAUACGGAAAGAACACCAACGGCGGAAACGCACUCUGCUGGGCCGACACUGACACU
rnacentral:rRNA from 1 species